rnacentral:rRNA from 1 species
GAUGAACGCUGGCGGCGUGCCUAAUACAUGCAAGUCGAGCGAACAGACGAGGAGCUUGCUCCUCUGACGUUAGCGGCGGACGGGUGAGUAACACGUGGAUAACCUACCUAUAAGACUGGGAUAACUUCGGGAAACCGGAGCUAAUACCGGAUAUUAUAUUGAACCGCAUGGUUCAAUAGUGAAAGACGGUUUUGCUGUCACAUAUAGAUGGAUCCGCGCCGCAUUAGCUAGUUGGUAAGGUAACGGCUUACCAAGGCGACGAUGCGUAGCCGACCUGAGAGGGUGAUCGGCCACCCUGGAACUGAGACACGGUCCAGACUCCUACGGGAGGCAGCAGUAGGGAAUCUUCCGCAAUGGGCGAAAGCCUGACGGAGCAACGCCGCGUGAGUGAUGAAGGUCUUCGGAUCGUAAAACUCUGUUAUUAGGGAAGAACAAAUGUGUAAGUAACUAUGCACGUCUUGACGGUACCUAAUCAGAAAGCCACGGCUAACUACGUG